AGAACAUGUGGUUGCAAUAUGUAUGUACAGCUCUGCCAAAAAGGAAUGGAACUGCUUGAGUAAAUUAGGGAUACAAUGUAUAUUGUAAACAGGUGCUUCCACACGGGUGUGGUUCCUGAGUUGAUUAAGCAAUUGACAUCCCAUCAUGCUUAGGGUCAUGUAUUAAAAAAAGCAUAAAUGAUGUAAACCAUAUGCCAUGGCCAUCUGUCACCAGAUCUCAACCCAUUUUCACACUUAUGGGAGAUUCUGGAGCGGUGCCUGAGGCAGCGUUUUCCACCAUCAACAAAAUACCAAAUGAUGGAGUUUCUUGGGUAAGAAUGGUGUCUCAUCCCUCCAAUAGAGUUCCGGACACAAUGUAAAAUAUAUGCCAAGGUGCAUUGACGCGGUUUUUGGCUCAUGGUGGCCCAACGCCCUAUUAAGACACUUUGUUGGUGUUUCCUUGAUUUUUGCAGUUACCUGUAUGUUCCAUCUGUACUUUUACUCUUUACUUCAACACCUCCCUGUACUUGUCAGUCAUCACAUUAUAUGGCUGUGUCUUGCGCUUCCACAAGCUUGUCCCUGAAGAAGUGCCCAAUCUGUUGUGCCUCAUUGUCGCUCUCCCCUCGUCUUUCAAUUGGGACAUUCUAAGCAUAUGUCAGCAACUCCUCCCUCUCACGAGUUGAGUUUGUAGCUCCUGCCGGUGUCCGGUUUACAAGUUUAAAGCUUUUACAGUAGGACGGACACGAGUGCUCUUCAUAGACAAAUAUUGAUUCUAGUUCGUUUGAAAAAUCCUACCGCUAGAUUAACUCCGUACGGUGUUACAGAAUUUGGAACAGUCUUGCAAUUAGAGGAUACUGUACUUGAUACACAGUAAAAAAAAAAGUUUAAUAAUUGUAUGAUAGGCUUAACGUUUUUUAUUUUACUAACAGUUUAAUUUAUUUUCCAGCUGCCUAUUUUAUAAUGCCGCGAAGGAGAUAGGUCGACAAAACAUACUGUCGAAUAUCUAUCGGAUUCGUUGUUCUAAUAAGUUUUGACCAUGGUCGGAGUGGAGUGAGCCUUUUCGAAGGUAUUUGGCGUUAUCGGUCUGCUGUUCCGUGGUCCGGUCAUGACUCUCGGUAGUGUCUCCGCUACCGGGAGCUCGGCGGAGGGCUGCUUCUGCUCCUGCUGCGGAGCGAAGAUGAUGCCCUACUUCUCCGACAACGGAGUUGUGUCUCAGAACCAGAUCAACCAACUCAUCAGCGAGAGCUUCCUGACGGUGAAGGGCGCCGCUGUCUUCCUGCCUCGGGGAAAUGGCUCCUCCCCUUCCUCGGCGCCCCGCAUCAGCCAGCGGCGGAACAAACACACAGGUGACCUCCAGCAGCACCUGCAGACCAUGUUCACUGUGCUGCGGCCAGAAGACAGCAUCCGCCUGGCUGUGCGCCUGGAGAGUGCGUACGCUCAGCCUCAGUGCACGCGUUACAUGGUGGUGGUGUCCACCAAUGGGAGACAGGACACUGAGGAGAGCGUGGUGCUGGGCCUGGACUUUGGCUCUUCAGACAGUUGUGUGUGUGUGGGCUUCAGUGUGUCCACGGUCAACAGGGUCCAUGUCUUCAAACCGGUCUCUGUCCAGGCCAUGUGGUCUGCCCUGCAGUCGCUCCACAAGGCGUGUGAGGUGGCCCGCUGUCACAACUACUACCCCAGCAGUCUGUUCCUGACCUGGGUCAGCUACUACCAGAGCCAAGUCUCCUCCGACCAGGUCUGCAUCAACGAGUGGAACGCCAUGCAGGACGUCCAGUCCCACCGCGCCGACUCGCCCGUCCUCUUCACUGACGUGCCCACAGAGAGGGAGCGCACGGAGAGGUUGAUCAAGACUCGCCUCAGAGAGAUCAUGAUGCAGAAAGACCUGGAGAAUGUCACCUCUAAAGAGAUUCGCACAGAGCUGGAGAUGCAGAUGGUGUGCAACCUUCGGGAGUUCAAGGAGUUUAUUGACAACGAGAUGAUCGUCAUCCUGGGUCAGAUGGACAGCCCCACAGAGAUCUUUGACCAUGUUUACCUGGGCUCUGAGUGGAAUGCUUCCAACUUGGAGGAGCUGCAGACCAGCGGUGUGAGGUACAUCCUCAACGUGACGCGGGAGAUCGACAACUUCUUCCCAGGCAUGUUUGAGUACCACAACAUCCGCGUGUACGACGAGGAGGCCACCAACCUGCUGGAGUACUGGAACGACACCUACAAGUUCAUCACCAAGGCCAGGAAAGCAGGGGCUAAGUGCCUAGUCCACUGUAAGAUGGGUGUGAGUCGCUCGGCCUCCACGGUGAUAGCUUACGCCAUGAAGGAGUACGGCUGGGACCUGGAGAGGGCCUUCGACUACGUCAAGGAGCGCCGCGGCGUCACCAAGCCCAACCCCUCCUUCAUGAAGCAGCUGGAGGAGUACCAGGGUAUCCUGCUGGCCAGUAAACAGAGGCACAACAAGUUGUGGCGCUCCCACUCGGACAGCGACCUCUCAGAGCGCCACGAGGCUCCGCUGUGUAAGACGGGCCCUCACAGCCACACCCUGGGCCUCUCGGAACCACACAACAACAAUGGCCCCACGCCCUCCCUGCAACACUUCCUGCUCCAGCGUGUAGAGCUGACCCUGGAUCUGCCUGACCUCAGCAGCUCGGAGGUCGUAUCUCAGGCCACCCUGGAGUCCAGCGAUGACUCGGACACCCUGGGACGCUCCCUGUCAGACCCGCUGAGCGAGAGGGGGGACAGUGUCAGUAUGAUGUCCCCAGGGACCCCCAUGGCCGUGAGCCCUCUCACUCCAACAGCGCCUCGGUCUUUAGGACCCUACGCCAACGAUGACAACAACAACCCCAGCGGGAGCGGUGACACAGACACUAUCCCCGCUAACCCUGUCGACGCCACAUGCAUCACCGCGUCCUCCAACCUCGGCACGGACAGCAUCGACUUCUUCAGCGCCCGUGAGAAAUUCCUGGGCCUGUCCCAAGACGGGAAGACCCGGACUCUUUCCGAGCAGAUGGCUCAGCGGACGCCUCAGUCACGGUGCCCCAGCCAGGAGCUGCAGCCGCUGUCCCCCGAGAACCCUGCUGGUGCACUGCCACCACUGCCAAGCACAGAGGAAGAGGACGACCGAGCCAGUCACGAAAAAGCCUCGUCGCCUCCCCAUCACGAGAACGGGGUGUCAGUCCGCCAUAUUGUCACGGAGAUAGAGUCCAUAUCCCACCCGCCGGCGGCGCCCCUCUCCUCCAGCCAGCCGGCCCCCCGCAGCCCCCAGCAGCUGCACCCAGACGACCGGGACGAGGAGACCCCAUUGACCUCGCCCUCCUCCUACCCACAAUCCCCCUCCACGCCUCUGUCGGAUUGGCCGACCGGCUCGGUGCGCAGGGCCACCAAACAGCUGGAGCAGAGGCUGAGGCAGGAGCUGGACUUAGCUCUCAGCAACACGUCUACCCAACGCUCCCCUCUCCACUCUCCCAGUGCAGAGUUCCACCCCACGGGCUCCCCUCUCCAUACGCCAAGCACGGACUGCCCACCCCUCCUCGCUCCUACCACAGACUGCCCCAAGCAGCGUAGGCCUACCCCUGAUCCUGAGCAAGGAAGAACUCUGAACGAGGCGUUCACUGUGUCGGCAGAGCCCAAAGGAGAGACGGAGCAGGGAGGGUUUGUCGUCUCAGACAUGGACGUUGCCCCAGCCCCUUCCUUCUCUCACUACCCAGAUGCCAGCCACACCCCUGAGCCCAUCCCAAUCAUCGCAUGUUCUUCUCUAGCGCCAUCUAGGGUCCAGCCCCAGACCCCCCCUGCACUGCUGUGGCUGGAGGGGGUGACGGCCCUUGACUCAGACACGGAUGGCCCCUCCCCUCCCCCGCCCCACGAUGGAAGGCUGGCCCUGGCACGCAGCAGUGAGGAGCUGGAGAAGAUCCAGGAGACUCUGAGGGAGCUGCAGGCCUUCCUGUACGAGGCGGGGGGCCUGGGGGCUGGAGAGAGACCUGGUCAGGGGCAGCAUCACAGGGAGACUCCCGUGUGGCAGAGGGCCAUGGAGAUCGAGGCGCGGAUCCGCCAAGCGGGCCUCACGCCCCCCUCCUUGAUGAAGCGCUCAGCCUCGCUGGCCAAGCUGGACUGCCUGGAGCUGUCAGCCAACGACCUGAGUGACUGGGACCUACGGCCCACCACCGCCAGCCCUCACGGACCCCCAUUGAUGCCCACCCCUCACCCCUGCUCCCACCAUCACCCCAGCCCAGACGAUGUCUCCAAGAAGCAGCGGGUGUUGUCCCGCAGCCCCCCCACCACCUACAGGGCCCCCCUAGGGGGGGUGUUCCCACUGGACUCAGACAGGACUGAUAGGGGCUCCCAGAGUGCAGGGAGUGAUCCUCCCUGUCUCUCCUCACCUCCAUGUCUUGUUCUUCAAGGGGAGGAGGAGCUAGAGACAGACCCCUCCCCCCGGCUCACCCGCACCCAGUCCCCGGCGAGCGCUCCCGACGUCACUAUGACAACCGCGCUGCAGCAACCCCGCGGGAAGAGUCACCCGCUGCGGCGGCUCCGCAAGGCUGCCGACAAGAAACGGACUGCCACUGUUCUCUACCACACCAUGUGA
rnacentral:lncRNA from 1 species